GACGAACGCUGGCGGCGUGCUUAACACAUGCAAGUCGAACGGAAAGGCCCUUCGGGGUACUCGAGUGGCGAACGGGUGCGUAACACGUGGGUGAUCUGCCCUGCACUUUGGGAUAAGCCUGGGAAACUGGGUCUAAUACCGAAUAGGACCGCGCGCUUCAUGGUGUGUGGUGGAAAGCUUUUGCGGUGUGGGAUGGGCCCGCGGCCUAUCAGCUUGUUGGUGGGGUAAUGGCCUACCAAGGCGACGACGGGUAGCCGGCCUGAGAGGGUGACCGGCCACACUGGGACUGAGAUACGGCCCAGACUCCUACGGGAGGCAGCAGUGGGGAAUAUUGCACAAUGGGCGCAAGCCUGAUGCAGCGACGCCGCGUGAGGGAUGACGGCCUUCGGGUUGUAAACCUCUUUCACCAGGGACGAAGCGCAAGUGACGGUACCUGGAGAAGAAGCACCGGCCAACUACGUG
rnacentral:rRNA from 1 species